CUUUCGAAUGUGUUCUCUUCGUGAACGGA
rnacentral:sRNA from 1 species